CCUACGGGUCGCAGCAGUGGGGAAUAUUGCACAAUGGGCGCAAGCCUGAUGCAGCCAUGCCGCGUGUAUGAAGAAGGCCUUCGGGUUGUAAAGUACUUUCAGCGGGGAGGAAGGCGAUAAGGUUAAUAACCUUGUCGAUUGACGUUACCCGCAGAAGAAGCACCGGCUAACUCCGUGCCAGCAGCCGCGGUAAUACGGAGGGUGCAAGCGUUAAUCGGAAUUACUGGGCGUAAAGCGCAUGCAGGCGGCCUGUUAAGUCAGAUGUGAAAUCCCCGGGCUCAACCUGGGAACUGCAUUCGAAACUGGCAGGCUAGAGUCUCGUAGAGGGGGGUAGAAUUCCAGGUGUAGCGGUGAAAUGCGUAGAGAUCUGGAGGAAUACCGGUGGCGAAGGCGGCCCCCUGGACAAAGACUGGCGCUCAGGUGCGAAAGCGUGGGGAGCAAACAGGAUUAGAUACCCCCGUAGUC
rnacentral:rRNA from 1 species